GACGAACGCUGGCGGCGUGCUUAACACAUGCAAGUCGAACGGAAAGGCCCUGCUUGCAGGGUACUCGAGUGGCGAACGGGUGAGUAACACGUGGGUGAUCUGCCCUGCACUUCGGGAUAAGCUUGGGAAACUGGGUCUAAUACCGGAUAGGAGCCAUCUUUAGUGUGGUGGUUGGAAAGUUUUUUCGGUGUAGGAUGAGCUCGCGGCCUAUCAGCUUGUUGGUGGGGUAAUGGCCUACCAAGGCGGCGACGGGUAGCCGGCCUGAGAGGGUGUACGGCCACAUUGGGACUGAGAUACGGCCCAGACUCCGACGGGAGGCAGCAGUGGGGAAUAUUGCACAAUGGGCGAAAGCCUGAUGCAGCGACGCCGCGUGGGGGAUGAAGGCCUUCGGGUUGUAAACUCCUUUCGCUAGGGACGAAGCUUUUUUGUGACGGUACCUAGAUAAGAAGCACCGGCUAACUACGUG
rnacentral:rRNA from 1 species